UGGGGAAUAUUGCACAAUGGGCGCAAGCCUGAUGCAGCCAUGCCGCGUGUAUGAAGAAGGCCUUCGGGUUGUAAAGUACUUUCAGCGGGGAGGAAGGGAGUAAAGUUAAUACCUUUGCUCAUUGACGUUACCCGCAGAAGAAGCACCGGCUAACUCCGUGCCAGCAGCCGCGGUAAUACGGAGGGUGCAAGCGUUACUCGGAAUUACUGGGCGUAAAGCGCACGCAGGCGGUUUGUUAAGUCAGAUGUGAAAUCCCCGGGCUCAACCUGGGAACUGCAUCUGAUACUGGCAAGCUUGAGUCUCGUAGAGGGGGGUAGAAUUCCAGGUGUAGCGGUGAAAUGCGUAGAGAUCUGGAGGAAUACCGGGGGCGAAGGCGGCCCCCUGGACGAAGACUGACGCUCAGGUGCGAAAGCGUGGGGAGCAAACAGG
rnacentral:rRNA from 1 species